CCUACGGGAGGCAGCAGUGGGGAAUUUUGGACAAUGGGCGCAAGCCUGAUCCAGCAAUGCCGCGUGAGUGAAGAAGGCCUUCGGGUUGUAAAGCUCUUUUGUCAGGGAAGAAACGGUUGGGGCUAAUAUCCUCGGCUAAUGACGGUACCUGAAGAAUAAGCACCGGCUAACUACGUGCCAGCAGCCGCGGUAAUACGUAGGGUGCAAGCGUUAAUCGGAAUUACUGGGCGUAAAGCGUGCGCAGGCGGUUUUGUAAGUCUGUCGUGAAAGCCCCGGGCUUAACCUGGGAAUUGCGAUGGAGACUGCAAGGCUUGAAUCUGGCAGAGGGGGGUAGAAUUCCACGUGUAGCAGUGAAAUGCGUAGAGAUGUGGAGGAACACCGAUGGCGAAGGCAGCCCCCUGGGUCAAGAUUGACGCUCAUGCACGAAAGCGUGGGGAGCAAACAGGAUUAGAUACCCUGGUAGUCCACGCCCUAAACGAUGUCUACUAGUUGUCGGGUCUUAAUUGACUUGGUAACGCAGCUAACGCGUGAAGUAGACCGCCUGGGGAGUACGGUCGCAAGAUUAAAACNCAAUGAAUUGACGG
rnacentral:rRNA from 1 species